AAAUAAAGACUUUAUAAAGAAUUAUGUAUAACAGAAAGGAUAAAUAAGUGGAUAAACCUAAAUAAAAUCUAACAACACAAAAGGGUAAUAAUAAAAUAUAUCAAAAAUUAGAAUACAUUAAAAUAAAUGGAAGAGGAAAAUAUAGUAAAAGAAAUUUAAGAUCUCAGCAUUGCCUGAGAAGCAGUAAAAGAGCUAAUAAGUCAUGGUACAUGUGUAACUGCUACUUAUGUAAAAAUAACAAGCUAAUACAAGGGAAAAUGGAAUUUGAAGAAAUCUCAAAGGAAGAAAGAAGAGCAAAAGGAACAUAACAAGGUGGGACAAAUAGUAAACAAGGAGUAAACGAUCUGUAAGAAAAUACAUUAACUGUAAAUACUCAAAGGACAAGGAUUAUUGAAACAAACAAAAAACCUAAUUCUAUGCCACCUACAAGAGACAAGAGUCAGAUUGAAAAUGAAAGGAUUCAACAAUUAUGUUAUAACAACAAUAAGCAAAAUUGAAGAAGAUUUUUUAAUGUUAACAUAGAUUUGAAAGCAAAAAGUAUCACUGGCGAUAAGGCAGGAUAAUAAAACCCACUGUUACUUUACAAGGAAUAUAUUAUAAAUCUAAACUUCAAUGCAAUAUAUGAAGGGAAAUUCCAAAAAUCUAAGUAGAAAUAGAAAAAUCUGAAUUACCUAGAUCAGUAACAUAGAACCACAACAAUAAAUCAGCAGAUUAUAGAAGAUCUGAAUACCAUCAUUAAAAACUUUGGCCUAAAUUUAUAUAAAACACUGUACCAACAAUGAUGGAAUAUAUAUAUCCCCCAGAAUUUUUAGGUGCACGUGGCACAUUUAUAAAAUUGACUAUAUUCUGGUUAUAAAACAAGACUCCGAAUAAGCAAGAAAUUUAAACCUAUAUAACCAAUAUUUUAGCAAAUAGUUGGAUAUUAAAGACAUACUUCUGAUCAUUAUGUAGGUCAAAGAUAAAGUCGCAAUGGGAAUUAGAAUUUUAUUAAUUGAAUGAUAAUGAAAACAUGCCAUAACAAAACCUGUGGGUUGCAAAUAAAGCUGUGGUCACAGAGAAGUUUAUGUAUUCCAGUUAUACUCUCUAAAUGUAAAAGGGAAAGGAAUAAAGCCACUAGAAGAGAACUUAUCACCCUGAGGUAGGCAGCUCCUGAACUGUACCUGUUGGGGAAGGCAGGGCAGAACUUCAGGAGGCCAGCUGGGAGCACGGUGAACACCAUCUCAGGAGCAGUCUCCAAGAAAGAGAAUUUAAUGUACAAAGGGAUGACUAAUAUAUAUUUAAGAGCUAGCACCCUGACCCCUCUUAAGGAUGACUUACGUUGCUGGGGAAUAAAUAAGAAGUGCUCGAUGUAGAAGGUGAAUAGCUUUAUAAUUCCCAGGAGAAUCUUGGUUCCAGGACCGCACAAUGAAGAACUUGGAGUCCCUAUGGCUAAUCCAGCAGAGAGAAAAGGAGGAACAGAGAUGCGAGAGAAAAUAAAGGGAACUCUUGGUUCAGUUCGGUGCUGCUGCAGGCCCAAGUCCAGACUCGCAGGCUUUCUGGACCUCUGAGGAAGAUAAGCACUUCACAGAACCUCUGCUACAGAACCAAGCAUAUUGAAAUAACUCUUUACGAAGAUACUGAAACAACAGAAAAAGAAUACAUGACGAUUGUUUCUCCUGAGGGUUCACUUACCUAGGGGGCCUUUAGCAAACUUUGACUGAUAAAUCUAACCUUUCCUUCCUUGGCAAUAGUUGAUCACACUGUGAGGAAAACAAGUUA